rnacentral:rRNA from 1 species
CAGGCCUAACACAUGCAAGUCGAACGGUAACAGGAAGCAGCUUGCUGCUUCGCUGACGAGUGGCGGACGGGUGAGUAAUGUCUGGGAAACUGCCUGAUGGAGGGGGAUAACUACUGGAAACGGUAGCUAAUACCGCAUAAUGUCGCAAGACCAAAGAGGGGGACCUUCGGGCCUCUUGCCAUCGGAUGUGCCCAGAUGGGAUUAGCUAGUAGGUGGGGUAACGGCUCACCUAGGCGACGAUCCCUAGCUGGUCUGAGAGGAUGACCAGCCACACUGGAACUGAGACACGGUCCAGACUCCUACGGGAGGCAGCAGUGGGGAAUAUUGCACAAUGGGCGCAAGCCUGAUGCAGCCAUGCCGCGUGUAUGAAGAAGGCCUUCGGGUUGUAAAGUACUUUCAGCGGGGAGGAAGGGAUGAAGCUUAAUACGCUUCGUCAUUGACGUUACCCGCAGAAGAAGCACCGGCUAACUCCGUGCCAGCAGCCGCGGUAAU